GCUGUGAUGGCCGAACGGUUAAGGCGUUGGAUUUGAAAUCCAAUGGGAACUUCCUGCGCUGGUUCGAACCCUGCUCACAGCG